rnacentral:rRNA from 1 species
CCUACGGGAGGCAGCAGUGAGGAAUAUUGGGCAAUGGAGGAAACUCUGACCCAGCGAUGCCGCGUGAGUGAAGAAGGAUUUCGAAUUGUAAAGCUCUUUCGGAUGUGAAGAAGAUGACGGUAACCACUAAAGAAGCCCCGGCAAACUUCGUGCCAGCAGCCGCGGUAAUACGAAGGGGGCAAGCGUUGUUCGGAAUUACUGGGCGUAAAGGGUGUGUAGGCGGGAACUGAAGAUAGUGGUGAAAGUCCUGAGCUCAACUGUGGAACUGCCAUUAUAACUAUUUGUCUAGAGUGACGUAGAGGAUAGUGGAAUUCCCAGUGUAGAGGUGAAAUUCGUAGAUAUUGGGUAGAACACCGGAGGCGAAGGCGAGUAUCUGGCUGUCAACUGACGCUGAGGCACGAAAGCGUGGGGAUCAAACAGGAUUAGAUACCCGGGUAGUC